CGCUAGCUACAGGCUUAACACAUGCAAGUCGAGGGGCAUCAGGAAGAAAGCUUGCUUUCUUUGCUGGCGACCGGCGCACGGGUGAGUAACACGUAUCCAACCUGCCCUUUACUCGGGGAUAGCCUUUCGAAAGAAAGAUUAAUACCCGAUAGCAUAAUGAUUCCGCAUGGUUUCAUUAUUAAAGGAUUCCGGUAAAGGAUGGGGAUGCGUUCCAUUAGGUUGUUGGUGAGGUCACGGCUCACCAAGCCUUCGAUGGAUAGGGGUUCUGAGAGGAAGGUCCCCCACAUUGGAACUGAGACACGGUCCAAACUCCUACGGGAGGCAGCAGUGAGGAAUAUUGGUCAAUGGGCGCUAGCCUGAACCAGCCAAGUAGCGUGAAGGAUGAAGGCUCUAUGGGUCGUAAACUUCUUUUAUAUAAGAAUAAAGUGCAGUAUGUAUACUGUUUUGUAUGUAUUAUAUGAAUAAGGAUCGGCUAACUCCGUGCCAGCAGCCGCGGUAAUACGGAGGACCCGAGCGUUAUCCGGAUUUAUUGGGUUUAAAGGGAGCGUAGGUGGACUGGUAAGUCAGUUGUGAAAGUUUGCGGCUCAACCGUAAAAUUGCAGUUGAUACUGUCAGUCUUGAGUACAGUAGAGGUGGGCGGAAUUCGUGGUGUAGCGGUGAAAUGCUUAGAUAUCACGAAGAACUCCGAUUGCGAAGGCAGCUCACUGGACUGCAACUGACACUGAUGCUCGAAAGUGUGGGUAUCAAACAGGAUUAGAUACCCUGGUAGUCCACACAGUAAACGAUGAAUACUCGCUGUUUGCGAUAUACAGUAAGCGGCCAAGCGAAAGCAUUAAGUAUUCCACCUGGGGAGUACGCCGGCAACGGUGAAACUCAAAGGAAUUGACGGGGGCCCGCACAAGCGGAGGAACAUGUGGUUUAAUUCGAUGAUACGCGAGGAACCUUACCCGGGCUUAAAUUGCAGUGGAAUGAUGUGGAAACAUGUCAGUGAGCAAUCACCGCUGUGAAGGUGCUGCAUGGUUGUCGUCAGCUCGUGCCGUGAGGUGUCGGCUUAAGUGCCAUAACGAGCGCAACCCUUAUCUUCAGUUACUAACAGGUCAUGCUGAGGACUCUGGAGAGACUGCCGUCGUAAGAUGUGAGGAAGGUGGGGAUGACGUCAAAUCAGCACGGCCCUUACGUCCGGGGCUACACACGUGUUACAAUGGGGGGUACAGAAGGCAGCUAGCGGGUGACCGUAUGCUAAUCCCAAAAGCCUCUCUCAGUUCGGAUCGAAGUCUGCAACCCGACUUCGUGAAGCUGGAUUCGCUAGUAAUCGCGCAUCAGCCACGGCGCGGUGAAUACGUUCCCGGGCCUUGUACACACCGCCCGUCAAGCCAUGGGAGCCGGGGGUACCUGAAGUACGUAACCGCAAGGAUCGUCCUAGGGUAAAACUGGUGACUG
rnacentral:rRNA from 1 species